rnacentral:rRNA from 1 species
AUGCCUCGUCAUCUAAUUAGUGACGCGCAUGAAUGGAUUAACGAGAUUCCUACUGUCCCUAUCUACUAUCUAGCGAAACCACAGCCAAGGGAACGGGCUUGGAAUAAUUAGCGGGGAAAGAAGACCCUGUUGAGCUUGACUCUAGUCUGGCAGUGUAAGGAGACAUAAGAGGUGUAGCAUAAGUGGGAGAUAUAUUAGUUUCGGCUAAAUAUAUCAAAAAUGAAAUACCACUACUCUUAUUGUUUCCUUACUUACUUGAUAAAAUGGAACGUGUAUCAUUCACUUAGCCAUUUUAUGAAUAUAUUUAUAUAUUUUAUGGUAUUUUGUUUUGAUGCGAGCUUCUUGUUUAAAGUACCAAGAGUUUGUUAUAUACACCAAACAAAUAUCAAUUAAAUUUGCUUUCCAUUAAUAAUGGUUUGUUAAAUAUUAAUUGAAUUUGGUAUAACUAUUAUACUUAGGUAUGAUCCAAUUCAAGGACAUUGCCAGGUGGGGAGUUUGACUGGGGCGGUACAUCUCUCAAAUAAUAACGGAGGUGUCCCAAGGCCAGCUCAGUGCGGACAGAAACCACACAUAGAGCAAAAGGGCAAAUGCUGACUUGAUCUCGGUGUUCAGUACAUACAGAGACAGCAAAAGCUCGGCCUAUCGAUCCUUUUGGUUUAAAGAGUUUUUAACAAGAGGUGUCAGAAAAGUUACCACAGGGAUAACUGGCUUG